GCUAUUUGUGGGAUGAUACUCUAAAUCCCACCAAACCAACAUCAGUCCUCCAAACAUACUUAUCAAGAACGAAGCCAAGCAAGCUAUGCAUGUCUUCGCAAUCUUCCCAAAUUUGCUGUAGCCCACUUCUCUCUCUUCCUUGUGUGAUCCCAUCAAAAUCAAGACAGGAAAAGGCCCAGGGGUCUGUCUAUCUCUAUCCUGAAAAAUACAAACCCAUCCAAGGAAAGGAAAUUAUCUUAGCAAUGACCUUGCAUAUAUAUAUAUAUAUGACUCAAAAUACAUAGGGGAUCACAUACCUGAGUUAUGAGGUAUCAAAAAGAAAUUGUUG
rnacentral:lncRNA from 1 species